rnacentral:rRNA from 1 species
UGUCGUCAGCUCGUGUUGUGAAAUGUUGGGUUAAGUCCCGCAACGAGCGCAACCCUUAUCCUUUGUUGCCAGCGGUCCGGCCGGGAACUCAAAGGAGACUGCCAGUGAUAAACUGGAGGAAGGUGGGAUGACGUCAAGUCAUCAUGGCCCUUACGACCAGGGCUACACACGUGCUACAAUGGCGCAUACAAAGAGAAGCGACCUCGCGAGAGCAAGCGGACCUCAUAAAGUGCGUCGUAGUCCGGAUUGGAGUCUGCAACUCGACUCCAUGAAGUCGGAAUCGCUAGUAAUCGUGGAUCAGAAUGCCACGGUGAAUACGUUCCCGGGCCUU